AUGGUCCGUGGUAGAAAAAUCAAAGAAACCGGGCAAUGGGUGUUGAAGAGUCAUGUUGGCACUCACAUGUGCAUACCCCCGGACAAGGCAGAUCGAAGCAAAGGACACCGUCAACUCACGUCUGAGUAUCUAGGAUACAAAUUGUUGAAUCCAAUAGCACAUGACCCAACCGUGAAGGUCAAGUUUCUCAUGUCUUCGAUUGAGGAACUAUUCGGAUACCCGGUCAAGUAUGGGAAGGCAUGGAUGGCGAAGGCAAACACUAUUAGGAUGUUGCAUGGUGAUUAUGAGGCCGCAUAUAACAUUCUGCCCAACAUGUUGGCAGCCAUUGCUCAUAGAAACCCGGGAAUGCACCCUCGGGUGGAGUCAACUGACGGUGUGUUUCGUCGUUCCUUCUGGAGCUUUGGACAAUGCAUUGAGGCAUUCACGUUUUGUCGCCCGGUCUUGUCUAUAGAUGGUACAUUCUUGACUAGCAAAUACAAGGGAGCACUGAUGGCGGCGAUGGCCCACUCUUCAAAUGAUAACGUGUUGCCGGUGGCAUUUGCCUUGGUGCCUUUGAAGCACAAUGAUAAUUGGGAGUGGUUCAUGGGGCAUGUGAGAACCAAGGUUAUAAGGGGGGCUAAGCUUCUGUGA
rnacentral:rRNA from 1 species